rnacentral:rRNA from 1 species
UUCCGGUUGAUCCUGCCGGAGGCCAUUGCUAUCGGAGUCCGAUUUAGCCAUGCUAGUUGUGCGGGUUUAGGCCCGCAGCGGAAAGCUCAGUAACACGUGGCCAAACUACCCUGUGGAUGGGAACAAUCUCGGGAAACUGAGGCUAAUUCCCAAUAACGCUCNCACCCCUGGAACGGGCGGAGCUGGAAACGCUACGGCGCCACAGGAUGUGGCUGCGGUCGAUUAGGUAGACGGUGGGGUAACGGCCCACCGUGCCAAUAAUCGGUACGGGUUGUGAGAGCAAGAGCCCGGAGACGGAAUCUGAGACAAGAUUCCGGGCCCUACGGGGCGCAGCAGGCGCGAAACCUUUACACUGUACGCAAGUGCGAUAAGGGGACUCCGAGUGUGAAGGCAUAGAGCCUUCACUUUUGUACACCGUAAGGUGGUGUACGAAUAAGGGCUGGGCAAGACCGGUGCCAGCCGCCGCGGUAAUACCGGCAGCCCGAGUGAUGGCCGAUAUUAUUGGGCCUAAAGCGUCCGUAGCUGGCCGGACAAGUCCGUUGGGAAAUCUGUUCGCUUAACGAGCAGGCGUCCAGCGGAAACUGUUCGGCUUGGGACCGGAAGACCUGAGGGGUACGUCCGGGGUAGGAGUGAAAUCCUGUAAUCCUGGACGGACCACCGGUGGCGAAAGCGCCUCAGGAGGACGGAUCCGACAGUGAGGGACGAAAGCUAGGGUCUCGAACCGGAUUAGAUACCCGGGUAGUCCUAGCUGUAAACGAUGCCCGCUAGGUGUGGCGCAGGCUACGAGCCUGCGCUGUGCCGUAGGGAGGCCGAGAAGCGGGCCGCCUGGGAAGUACGUCUGCAAGGAUGAAACUUAAAGGAAUUGGCGGGGGAGCACUACAACCGGAGGAGCCUGCGGUUUAAUUGGAUUCAACGCCGGG